GUGGGGAAUAUUGGACAAUGGGGGGAACCCUGAUCCAGCCAUGCCGCGUGUGUGAAGAAGGCCUUUUGGUUGUAAAGCACUUUAAGCGAGGAGGAGGCUACCGAGAUUAAUACUCUUGGAUAGUGGACGUUACUCGCAGAAUAAGCACCGGCUAACUCUGUGCCAGCAGCCGCGGUAAUACAGAGGGUGCAAGCGUUAAUCGGAUUUACUGGGCGUAAAGCGCGCGUAGGUGGCCAAUUAAGUCAAAUGUGAAAUCCCCGGGCUUAACUUGGGAAUUGCAUUCGAUACUGGUUGGCUAGAGUAUGGGAGAGGAUGGUAGAAUUCCAGGUGUAGCGGUGAAAUGCGUAGAGAUCUGGAGGAAUACCGAUGGCGAAGGCAGCCAUCUGGCCUAAUACUGACACUGAGGUGCGAAAGCAUGGGGAGCAAACAGGAUUAGAAACCCUGGUAGUCC
rnacentral:rRNA from 1 species